GAUGAACGCUGGCGGCGUGCCUAAUACAUGCAAGUCGAGCGAACAGACGAGGAGCUUGCUCCUCUGACGUUAGCGGCGGACGGGUGAGUAACACGUGGAUAACCUACCUAUAAGACUGGGAUAACUUCGGGAAACCGGAGCUAAUACCGGAUAAUAUAUUGAACCGCAUGGUUCAAUAGUGAAAGACGGUUUUGCUGUCACUUAUAGAUGGAUCCGCGCCGCAUUAGCUAGUUGGUAAGGUAACGGCUUACCAAGGCAACGAUGCGUAGCCGACCUGAGAGGGUGAUCGGCCACACUGGAGCUGAGACACGGUCCAGACUCCUACGGGAGGCACCAGUAGGGAAUCUUCCGCAAUGGGCGAAAGCCUGACGGAGCAACGCCGCGUGAGUGAUGAAGGUCUUCGGAUCGUAAAACUCUGUUAUUAGGGAAGAACAAAUGUGUAAGUAACUAUGCACGUCUUGACGGUACCUAAUAAGAAAGCCACGGCUAACUACGUG
rnacentral:rRNA from 1 species